rnacentral:rRNA from 1 species
AUGGGGCUGAGAGACAUCGAGAUGACGCUUCCGCCAGGGUUCCGGUUCUACCCGAACGACGAGGAGCUGGUGUGCCACUACCUGCAGAGCAAGGUGGCCAACCAGCACUUCGCCGGCUGCGGAGGAGCCGCCGGGACCAUGGUGGAGGUGGAUCUGCACGUCCACGAGCCAUGGGAGCUGCCAGAUGUAGCAAAGCUGAGCGCAAACGAGUGGUACUUCUUCAGCUUCCGAGACCGCAAGUACGCGACAGGGCUGCGCACGAACCGCGCCACCAGGUCCGGCUACUGGAAGGCCACAGGCAAGGACCGCGUCAUCCGGAGCCCAAGGUCGUCGUCAUCUCGCUCCGGCCGGGCCACCAUCGUCGGCAUGCGCAAGACCCUCGUGUUCUACCGCGGCCGUGCCCCCAACGGCACCAAGACCUGCUGGGUCAUGCACGAGUUCCGCAUCGAGAACCCUCAUUCCCCACCCAAGGAGGACUGGGUGUUGUGCAGAGUUUUCCACAAGAAGAAAGCCGACACGGACUACGCCAUGGACGGCAAGGCGGACCUCGGCAGCGGUGCCGUGAGCGGAUCCAACUACCUAAGCUCCUCGUCCUGCCACGAUCCGGAACAGUAUCACCAGUCGCCUAUGGCCCCGUUCCCUUCCAUCGGCGCGGGCGGCCACAAUUACCAGCUCCUGCCAUGUGAUCAUCAGCACCCACACGGCGCAGCAGGCGUCUCGGUCAGCGAUGUCGACCCCUUUGCCGUCAUGCCACAACUGCUGAGCUACGACAGUAUCCUCGACUUCAGCCAGCAACUCCAUGGCGGCCGCAGUGCAGCGGCGUGUUUGAGAGACGGUGGCGAUGAUCAGCUGCAGGUGCAGGAGGAGCACUACAAGUACAACAGCUUGAUAUAG